rnacentral:rRNA from 1 species
CAAAAACAUAGCCACAUGGAAUUACAUGUGGUGUUUUCUGCUCAAUGAAAUUUAAAUAGCCGCAGUACCCUGACUGUGCAAAGGUAGCGUAAUCAUUUGACUUUUAAUUGGAGUCGCGUAUGAACGAAUAUAUGGGGGCCUACUUUACCAGUAAUAAAUUUUGAAAUUACUUAGCGAGUGCAAAUUCUCGCAAGUAUUAAAUAGACGAGAAGACCCUAGAAAUUUUAACGUACGUUUUUGUUGGGGCAACAUAGUAUCAAAAAAAAUACUCUAUGUAUAUGAAAUUUGUUUGAUAGAUUAAAUUACUCUAGGGAUAACAGCAUAAUUAAAAACCGUUUGUGACCUCGAUGUUGGAUUAGGAAAUUAUAACUUAAAAGGUAAGUAAUUUUGCUCUGUUCGAGCA